rnacentral:rRNA from 1 species
AAAGAGUCCCCCCCGACUGUUUACCAAAAACACAGCACUUUGCCAACUCGUAAGAGGAAGUAUAAGGUGUGACGCCUGCCCGGUGCUCGAAGGUUAAGAGGAUGCGUCAGUCGCAAGAUGAAGCGUUGAAUUGAAGCCCGAGUAAACGGCGGCCGUAACUAUAACGGUCCUAAGGUAGCGAAAUUCCUUGUCGGUUAAAUACCGACCUGCAUGAAUGGCGUAACGAGAUGGGAGCUGUCUCAACCAGAGAUUCAGUGAAAUUGUAGUGGAGGUGAAAAUUCCUCCUACCCGCGGCAAGACGGAAAGACCCCGUGGACCUUUACUACAACUUAGCACUGCUAAUGGGAAUAUCAUGCGCAGGAUAGGUGGGAGGCUUUGAAGUAAGGGCUUUGGCUCUUAUGGAGCCAUCCUUGAGAUACCACCCUUGAUGUUUCUGUUAGCUAACUGGCCUGUGUUAUCCACAGGCAGGACAAUGC